GACCUCAAAUCAGGUAGGACUACCCGCUGAACUUAAGCAUAUCAAUAAGCGGAGGAAAAGAAACUAACAAGGAUUCCCCUAGUAACUGCGAGUGAAGAGGGAAGAGCUCAAAUUUAAAAUCUGUCAGUCUUUGGCUGACUGAGUUGUAAAUUAGAGAAGUGCUAUCAGUGCUGGCCUGUGCAAAAGUCUCUUGGAAAAGAGCAUCAUAGAGGGUGACAAUCCCGUCUUUGGUACAGAUCUCCAGUGCUUCCAUGAUGCGCUCUCGAUGAGUCGAGUUGUUUGGGAAUGCAGCUCUAAAUGGGUGGUAAAUUCCAUCUAAAGCUAAAUAUUGGCGAGAAACCGAUAGCGCACAAGUACCGUGAGGGAAAGAUGAAAAGAACUUUGAAAAGAGAGUUAAACAGUACGUGAAAUUGUUGAAAGGGAAACGC
rnacentral:rRNA from 1 species